UACGGGGGGGGGCAAGCGUUGUUCGGAAUUACUGGGCGUAAAGGGCUCGUAGGUGGCCAACUAAGUCAGACGUGAAAUCCCUCAGCUUAACUGGGGAACUGCGUCUGAUACUGGAUGGCUUGAGUUUGGGAGAGGGAUGCGGAAUUCCAGGUGUAGCGGUGAAAUGCGUAGAUAUCUGGAGGAACACCGGUGGCGAAGGCGGCAUCCUGGACCAACACUGACGCUGAGGCUCGAAAGCGUGGGGAGCAAACAGG
rnacentral:rRNA from 1 species